rnacentral:snRNA from 1 species
AUGCUCACUUCAGCAGCACAUAUACUAAAAUUGGAAUAUUACAGAGAAGAUUAACAUGGCCCCUGCACAAGGAUGACAUGCAAAUUCAGGAAGUGCUCCAUAUUUUU